rnacentral:lncRNA from 1 species
AGUGUCGUUCGUAGCCAUGGACUCCUCCAACCUCUCAGCUCUCCUUCUCAUCUUCAUGCUCGUCAUUUCCUCCUCCCCUCUCUCUCUUGCCUGUGGCUACUGUCCUCCUUCUACUCCCAAGACCCCGAAAGGACCCAUCACCGUGCCUCCCAUCAUCGUCAACCCACCCAUCACCGUGCCUCCCAUCGUCGUCAGGCCGCCCAUCACCGUGCCUCCCAUCGUCGUCAAGCCGCCCAUCACCGUGCCUCCCAUCAUCGUCAGGCCGCCCAUCACCGUGCCUCCCAUCAUCGUCAAGCCGCCCAUCACGUUGCCUCCCAUCAUCGUCAAGCCGCCCAUCACGUUGCCUCCCAUCAUCGUCAAGCCGCCCAUCACGUUGCCUCCCAUCAUCGUCAAGCCACCCAUCACAGUACCGCCUAUCACGGUGCCACCAGUCAUCGGUGGCGGGAAGCCACCUGGGACCGGAACCGCCGGCUGCCCACCGCCACCAGCACCAGCGAAGCAAUGCCCGGUCGAUGCCGUCAAGUUCGGUACCUGCCUGUAUAUCCUCGGCUCGCCAGUGCACAUCGGCGACCCGGCCGUCACCUGCUGCCCGAUAGUGGAAGGCCU